GUGUUUGGUUAAUUAUAGUAAGGUCGGUUCGAUUGGGAUAUUGAGUUCAUGCACGAGUGAACUCAGGUGGUUAAAAGUCAUUCGAGCCAUUGCAGUCAAAGUGUACAGUAGCAUUUUUCCAAAUAAAUAAUAUUAUUAAUCAUAUUAUUUAUUUUUAGAUUUGUGGAUCACAAGUAUGGGGAAACCAGUACAAGCUGCUUCAUAGCUGUGUAGUUAUAUGAACUUUCAACAAGAUUAUAC
rnacentral:lncRNA from 1 species